UUGCUGUGAUGAAUUUGGCGCCCAAGUGAUCGUGGGUCGAUCGCAACCAUCUGAUUUUCUUUGGAUGUAAAUCAAUGGCGCUUCUGAGCUU